GUUGGCGAUAUACUGUCAGCGGCCAAGCGAAAGUAUUAAGUGAUGCACCUGGGGAGUACGCCGGCAACGGUGAAACUCAAAGGAAUUGACGGGGGCCCGCACAAGCGGUGGAGCAUGUGGUUUAAUUCGAUGAUACGCGAGGAACCUUACCAGGGCUUAAAUGUAGUAUGACCGGCUUAGAAAUAGGCCUUCUCUUCGGAGCAGAUUACAAGGUGCUGCAUGGUUGUCGUCAGCUCGUGCCGUGAGGUGUUAGGUUAAGUCCUGCAACGAGCGCAACCCCUAUUCUUAGUUGCCAGCGGUUCGGCCGGGGACUCUAAGAAGACUGCCAGCGCAAGCUGAGAGGAAGGUGGGGAUGACGUCAAAUCAUCACGGCCCUUACGUCCUGGGCUACACACGUGCUACAAUGGUAGAGACAGAGGGCAGCCACCUGGUGGCAGGGAGCGAAUCCUUAAACUCUAUCUCAGUUCGGAUCGAAGUCUGCAACUCGACUUCGUGAAGCUGGAAUCGCUAGUAAUCGCGCAUCAGCCAUGGCGCGGUGAAUACGUUCCCGGGCCUUGUACACAUCGCCCGUCAAGCCAUGGAAGCUGGGGGCACCUGAAGUCGGUAACCGUAAGGAGCCGCCUAGGGUGAAACUGGUAACUAGGGCU
rnacentral:rRNA from 1 species